rnacentral:rRNA from 1 species
UACAGAGGGUGCAAGCGUUAAUCGGAAUUACUGGGCGUAAAGCGCGCGUAGGUGGUUUGUUAAGUUGGAUGUGAAAGCCCCGGGCUCAACCUGGGAACUGCAUUCAAAACUGACAAGCUAGAGUAUGGUAGAGGGUGGUGGAAUUCCCGGUGUAGCAGUGAAAUGCGUAGAGAUCGGGAGGAACACCAGUGGCGAAGGCGGCUACCUGGACCAGCACUGACACUGAAGCACGAAAGCGUGGGGAGCAAACAGG